GCUUUACAUUCUUCCACACGGCAGUGACGGCACAUGAACGCAACACAAACAAACCUGGAGGAGAGUGAACGUGACAAUUCUGAUUAGGAGAAGGACUCCCACGACCACCGAAGACAAAGUGCUGUGCUGCAUGUCUCUGUUCGGGAGCCCCAGAGGUCAUCUCCCUCUGUGUCAUCACAACCUCAGCCUCCUCACAGCUCCUGGCCCCAACGCGGCGACCCCACGCAGAGAGGUCUUUUGAAGGCGGCCCAAGAGAACGAACAUUGAUUCAAGGUUCAGCUCACAGACGCCGGGCGGUUUACCGAACACAAGCCGCCAACCUCGCAGUUCUACUCACCUGCCGGCUCGCCGCCGUUCAGCGCGUCACGGCGGAUCAGCGCGCUCAGGACGGAGGUUUAAGGGCGUCUGGCAACAAAACGCCGUGCCACGGGGAGGGACUCGCCAC
ensembl:lncRNA